UACGUAGGGGGCGAGCGUUUAUCCGGAUUUACUGGGCGUAAGGCGCGUUAAGGCGGUCGGCAAAGUUGGUUGUGAAAUCUCAGGGCUCAACCCUGAAAUUGCGACCAAUACUGGUCGACUAGAGUGCAAGAGAGGAAGGUGGAAUUCCCGGUGUAGUAGUGAAAUGCGUAGAUAUCGGGAGGAACACCAGUGGCGAAGGGCGGCCUCUGGCUUGUAACUGACGCUGUAGCGCGAAAGCGUGGGGAGCGAACCGGG
rnacentral:rRNA from 1 species